rnacentral:lncRNA from 1 species
GAAUAUGUCUUUUUUUUUUUUGAGCAAGUCUCCCAAAUCUUCUUAAAAUGUCAUUUAUCUUAGUUUGAUAUAUAACUGUUUCAUCACAUAUUAAUACGUAGUUGUAUAUAUGUGGUCAAAACUUCGUAAAACGAUAUAUUUAUUCUUUAAAUGGACAGACAAUAUUUAAGGCCAAGCCCAGGUUUGAGCCCAAUUCGAUUGCCCAUAUCAGCUUUACACAAUUGGGUGUUCUUGUGUUUGUGCCAUGUCUCAAAUAAACUAGUGAACUUACAUAAUUUGUUGGAUCGGGUUUGUCCUCUUUUAUGCGUCUUUUUUGUAUUACUAGUGAGGGAACAUACAUUGCACGUGUAGUGGGUAAUGUAGUGUAAGUAAUAAUGUUGGAAUUUGGUCAUGUAGUAUUUUUAUGGAAAAUCAUACCUGGUUAGAAGGAUAAUUGCAUUGUAUUAUAUAAAAUAUGUGUCCACAAGUACUUUCAUUGGUGGUAGUAAUAUGAAGUAAAAACCAAAGUUCUUACAUGCCAUACUUGGAUACAUGGGUUCUUACAUGUUAAUAUGUACAAUGAACAAAAUCUAGUAUGGCAAAUAGAGAUGUUGGGAAUCAGGUUUGGUGGACUGUGGACAUAAACUUGCAAAAGAGAUACAAAAUAUGUAUUUUAAAAUCUUGAACAACUACUCCUAGUUUUGUUUUUUGUUUGCAUGUUUGUAAGCUUCAUGUGUAGACGUUGUCCAGUUUGUUGGGCUAUUUGUUGGUGUAGUGUUUGCAUUUGCAAAUUGAAGAUAUCUUUGUGAGGUGCCUGAUUAUAUGAUGUUCGUAAGUAUGGUCUUUAUCUUGGAUUUGUUAGUCAAUGAUGAAGAUGACUUCAUAUGGUGCUUUGUUGGUUGUUGUCUCUGCAUUUACAGUGUUGAUGUAUAAGAUAUGAUGAUGUGCAGUCAUUGUUUGAAU